rnacentral:lncRNA from 1 species
AACACCUGUACUACACCACAUGACUGAGUUACUGUACGGACAGGUUACACCUGUACUACACCACAUGACUGAGUUACUGUACGGACAGGUUACACCUGUACUACACCACAUGACUGAGUUACUGUACGGACAGGUUACACCUGUACUACACCACAUGACUGAGUUACUGACAGGUUACACCUGUACUACACCACAUGACUGAGUUACUGUACAGACAGGUUACACCUGUACUACACCACAUGACUGAGUUACUGUACGGACAGGUUACACCUGUACUACACCACAUGACUGAGUUAAUGUACGGACAGGUUACACCUGUACUACACCACAUGACUGAGUUACUGUACGGACAGGUUACACCUGUACUACACCACAUGACUGAGUUACUGUACGGACAGGUUACACCUGUACUACACCACAUGACUGAGUUACUGUACGGACAGGUAACACCUGUAAUACACCACAUGACUGAGUUACUGUACAGACAGGUUACACCUGUACUACACCACAUGACUGAGUUACUGUACGGACAGGUUACACCUAUACUACACCACAUGACUGAGUUACUGUACAGACAGGUUACACCUGUACUACACCACAUGACUGAGUUACUGUACGGACAGGUUACACCUGUACUACACCACAUGACUGAGUUACUCUACGGACAGGUUACACCUGUACUACACCACAUGACUGAGUUACUGUACGGACAGGUUACACCUGUACUACACCACAUGACUGAGUUACUCUACGGACAGGUUACACCUGUACUACACCACAUGACUGAGUUACUGUACGGACAGGUUACACCUGUACUACACCACAUGACAUAGUUACUGUACGGACAGGUUACACCUGUACUACACCACAUGACUGAGUUACUGUACAGACAGGUUACACCUGUACUACACCACAUGACUGAGUUACUGUACAGACAGGUUACACCUGUACUACACCACAUGACUGAGUUACUGUACGGACAGGUUACACCUGUACUACACCACAUGACUGAGUUACUGUACGGACAGGUUACACCUGUACUACACCACAUGACUGAGUUACUGUACGGACAGGUUACACCUGUACUACACCACAUGACUGAGUUACUGUACGGACAG